UACGUAGGUGGCAAGCGUUGUCCGGAUUUACUGGGCGUAAAGGGCGUGCAGGCGGUCUGUUAAGUGCAGGGUGAAAGCUCCCGGCUCAACUGGGAGAGGUCCUUGCAUACUGGCGGAGCUUGAGGGGGGUAGAGGAAAGUGGAAUUCCCGGUGUAGUGGUGAUAUGCGUAGAUAUCGGGAGGAACACCUGUGGCGAAGGCGGCUUUCUGGGCCCUACCUGACGCUGAGGCGCGAAAGCUAGGGGAGCGAACGGG
rnacentral:rRNA from 1 species